rnacentral:rRNA from 1 species
AUAAACACGCCUUCGGGGCUUCUCUGGUGAUUCAUGAUACUUAACGAAUCGCAUGGCCUUGCGCCGGGAUGGUUCAUUCAAAUUUCUGCCCUAUCAACUUUCGAUGGUAGGAUAGUGGCCUACCAUGGGUAUCAACGGGUAACGGGGAAUUAGGGUUCUAUUCCGGAGAGGGAGCCUGAGAAACGGCUACCACAUCCAAGGAAGGCAGCAGGCGCGCAAAUUACCCAAUCCCGACACGGGGAAGGUAGUGACAAUAAAUACUGAUACAGGGCUCUUUUGGGUCUUGUAAUUGGAAUGAGAACAAUUUAAAUCCCUUAACGAGGAACAAUUGGAGGGCAAGUCUGGUGCCAGCAGCCGCGGUAAUUCCAGCUCCAAUAGCGUAUAUUAAAGUUGUUGCAGUUAAAAAGCUCGUAGUUGAACCUUGGGCCUGGCUGGCCGGUCCGCCUCACCGCGUGCACUGGUCCGGCCGGGCCUUUCCUUCUGGGGAGCCUGCAUGCCCUUCACUGGGUGUGUCGGGGAACCAGGACUUUUACUUUGAAAAAAUUAGAGUGUUCAAAGCAGGCCUUUGCUCGGAUACAUUAGCAUGGAAUACUAGAAUUAGGACGUGCGGUCCUAUCGGUCGGUUCCUAGGACCGCCGUAAUUGAUUAUAGGGAUAGGUCCGAGGGCAUCCAGUAUGCAAUAGUCAGAGGUGAAAUUCCUUGGAUU